rnacentral:rRNA from 1 species
UACGGAAGGGGCUAGCGUUGUUCGGAUUUACUGGGCGUAAAGCGCACGUAGGCGGAUCGAUCAGUCAGGGUGAAAUCCCAGGCUCAACCCUGGAACUGCCUUUGAUACUGUCGAUCUGGAGUAUGGAAGAGGUGAGUGGAAUUCCGAGUGUAGAGGUGAAAUUCGUAGAUAUUCGGAGGAACACCAGUGGCGAAGGCGGCUCACUGGUCCAUUACUGACGCUGAGGUGCGAAAGCGUGGGGAGCAAACAGGG